GACGAACGCUGGCGGCGUGCUUAACACAUGCAAGUCGAACGGAAAGGCCCUGCUUUUGUGGGGUGCUCGAGUGGCGAACGGGUGAGUAACACGUGAGUAACCUGCCCUUGACUUUGGGAUAACUUCAGGAAACUGGGGCUAAUACCGGAUAGGAGAUACUGCUGCAUGGUGGGGGUUGGAAAGUUUCGGCGGUUGGGGAUGGACUCGCGGGUUAUCAGCUUGUUUGUGGGGUAGUGGCUUACCAAGGCUUUGACGGGUAGCCGGCCUGAGAGGGUGAACGGCCACCUUAGGCCUGAGAUACGGCCCAGACUCCUACGGGAGGCAGAAGUGGGGAAUAUUGCACAAUGGGCGGAAGCCUGAUGCAGCAACGCUGCGUGCGGGAUGACGGCCUUCGGGUUGUAAACCGCUUUCUACUGUGACGAAGCGUGAGUGACGGUAAUGGGUAAAGAAGCACCGGCUAACUACGUG
rnacentral:rRNA from 1 species